GAGCGGCGGACGAAAAAGGAGAAGACACGCGGAGUAUGUAGGAAGAACAGUAACGAAAAGAGACUGUUAUACAGACGUUUAGUGACCACGUCGUGGAGGCGUUCAACCCGGACUCUCCAGAGGACUCAGUGGUGAUUUUCCUGUGGGUGUGAGUGGAUUACUCAAACCGUGAGGACGACGUGAAGCUAGAAGCUAACACAGCGGCUAGUUUAGCUCACAGUGACUGUACUAGUUAGCAGCAAGCUACCUAUUCAGCAGUGACUGUGGGGAAAGGAGCGUGGAGCUGCAGACGACGAGCGAACACCGCGACAUCGGCAGUGACGGGUCUUCGUUUCCUCCGGACGGAUCUUCUCCUCAACUCACCUCUUCUCCACCCACCAGCCCAUCCCAAGCGACAUCCAGGCUUGCACCGAUGCACUAAAGGGAUGUUGAUGGUGGGUUGCAGUGCUGGUCGCAGAUUCGUCAUUUUCACAAAGCGCAUGUGUGUGAAGUGCGGUGAUCUACUGAAGGUCUCGCUGAAAUAAAAAUCCUACAAAAACCC